rnacentral:ncRNA from 12 species
GGUCGAGCGGAUAAAGGUGUCCGCAUUCGAGAUAAAUAAAGCUUCUGGGGCGGGAAGCU